GGUUCUUUAUAUACUGUUUCCACAUCUAAUUCUGAUACUUUAUCUGCCUCUUCAACAUCUGAUUCUGGUUCUUUAUAUACUGUUUCCACAUCUAAUUCUGAUACUUUAUCUGCCUCUUCAACAUCUGAUUCUGGUUCUUUAUAUACUGUUUCCACAUCUGAUUCUGAUAUUUUAUCUGCCUCUUCAAUAUCUGAUUCUAACACUUCUUCAACUGCCUUUUCCAUAACUGAUUCUGAUACUUUAUCUGCCUCUUCAACAUCUGAUUCUGGUUCUUUAUAUACUGUUUCCACAUAUAAUUCUGAUACUUUAUCUGCCUCUUCAACAUCUGAUUCUGCUUCUUUAUAUACUGUUUCCACAUCUGAUUCUGAUAUUUUAUCUGCCUCUUCACCAUCUGAUUCUGGUUCUUUAUAUACUGUUUCCACAUCUGAUUCUGAUAUUUUAUCUGCCUCUUCAAUAUCUGAUUCUGGUUCUUUAUAUACUGUUUCCACAUCUAAUUCUGAUAUUUUAUCUGCUUCUUUAACAUCUGAUUCUGAUACUUUAUCUGCAUUUUCAACAUCUGAUUCUAACACUUCUUCAACUGCCUCUUCCAUAACUGAUUCUGAUAUUUUAUCUGCCUCUUCAACAUCUGAUUCUGAUAUUUUAUCUGCUUCUUUAACAUCUGAUUCUGAUACUUUAUCUUCUUCUUCUUCUUCUUCUUCAACGUCUGCUUCUGGUGUUUCUUUAGCAUCUUCAUCUGGUAUUGUUGUUUCUUUCUCUUCUAUAUCUGAUUCUAAUACCUUAUCGACCUUUCCAACGUCGGAUCCUAAUAAUAUUUUAUCUGCCUCAUCAACAUCCGAUUCUAAUGUUUUUUCAGUAUCCUCUUUAACAUCUGCUUCUAAAAUUUUCUUAUCUUCCUCUUUAACAUCUCCUUCGAAUAAUGACUUGUAUAUCGUAUCAACAUCUGAUACUAAUACUUCUUCAUCUUUCUCUUCAACACCAGUUGUUAGUACUUCAUCUACCUUUCCAACGUCGGAUCCUAACAAUGCUUCAUCUGCUUCUUCUUCUUUUGUUUCUUCUUUUG
rnacentral:lncRNA from 1 species